AAUCUGCACAGCCGGCUUAAU
rnacentral:miRNA from 1 species